GACAGAGGCCUCAAGCGUUAGGCGGAAUCACUGGGCUUAAAGCGUGUGUAGGCGGAUCGUUAAGUGUCUUGUGAAAUCCCACGGCUCACCCGUGGAACUGCUGGGCAUACUGGCGAUCUUGGGCCAACUAGGGGCAACUGGAACAAGCGGUGGAGCGGUGAAAUGCGUAGGAUAAUCGCUUGGAACGCCAACGGUGAAAACAGGUUGCUGGGGUUGUGCCGACGCUGGAGACACGGAAAAGCCCAGGGGAGCAAACGGGG
rnacentral:rRNA from 1 species